rnacentral:ncRNA from 1 species
CAAAGCGCCAGAACUGCGGCUGCCUGGCAUGGAGCGCAGUUGACGAGGUGGAGGUUUAUCGAAGGGUUCGGCGGAUGCCUCCCGGUAGCUCGUAUCUCUACCGCAAGUACAGGGACAAAACGUUGGGGCAACUCAACGCACAAUA